rnacentral:miRNA from 1 species
GACGUCGAUAUUCGACGUCAUAAACACCAUCAACUUUGGUGUUUAUGACGUCGAUAUUCGACGUCAUAAACACCAUCAACUUUGGUGUUUAUGACGUCGAUAUUCGACGUCAUAAAUACGAUCAACUUUGGUGUUUAUGACGUCGAUAUUCGACGUCAUAAACACGAUCAACUUUGGUGUUUAUGACGUCGAUAUUCGACGUCAUAAACACGAUCAACUUUGGUGUUGAUGACGUCGAUAUUCGACGUCAUAAACACGAUCAACUUUGGUGUUUAUGACGUCGAUAUUCGACGUC